rnacentral:rRNA from 1 species
AUUGAACGCUGGCGGCAGGCUUAACACAUGCAAGUCGAGCGGAGAUGAGGUGCUUGCACCUUAUCUUAGCGGCGGACGGGUGAGUAAUGCUUAGGAAUCUGCCUAUUAGUGGGGGACAACAUUCCGAAAGGAAUGCUAAUACCGCAUACGUCCUACGGGAGAAAGCAGGGGAUCUUUGGACCUUGCGCUAAUAGAUGAGCCCAAUUCGGAUUAGCUAGUUGGUGGGUAAAGGCCAACCAAGGCGACGAUCUGUAGCGGGUCUGAGAGGAUGAUCCGCCACACUGGGACUGAGACACGGCCCAGACUCCUACGGGAGGCAGCAGUGGGGAAUAUUGGACAAUGGGGGGAACCCUGAUCCAGCCAUGCCGCGUGUGUGAAGAAGGCCUUAUGGUUGUAAAGCACUUUAAGCGAGGAGGAGGCUACUGAGACUAAUACUCUUGGAUAGUGGACGUUACUCGCAGAAUAAGCACCGGCUAACUCUGUGCCAGCAGCCGCAGUAA